GACGAACGCUGGCGGCGUGCCUAAUACAUGCAAUUAGAACGCUGAAGGAGGAGCUUGCUUCUCUGGAUGAGUUGCGAACGGGUGAUUAACGCGUAGGUAACCUGCCUGGUAGCGGGGGAUAACUAUUGGAAACGAUAGCUAAUACCGCAUAAGAGUAGAUGUCGCAUGACAUUUGCUUAAAAGUUGCAAUUGCAUCACUCCCAGAUGGCCCUGCGUUGUAUUAGCUAGUUGGUGAGGUAACGGCUCACCAAGGCAACGAUACAUAGCCGACCUGAGAGGGUGAUCGGCCACACUGGGACUGAGACACGGCCCAGACUCCUACGGGAGGCAGCAGUAGGGAAUCUUCGGCAAUGGACGGAAGUCUGACCGAGCAACGCCGCGUGAGUGAAGAAGGUUUUCGGAUCGUAAAGCUCUGUUGUAAGAGAAGAACGAGUGUGAGAGUGGAAAGUUCACACUGUGACGGUAUCUUACCAGAAAGGGACGGCUAACUACGUG
rnacentral:rRNA from 1 species